rnacentral:rRNA from 1 species
GCGUCCCAUCAGGUAGUAGGCGGGGCAACGGCCCACCUAGCCGACGACGGGUAGCCGGGUUGAGAGACCGACCGGCCACAUUGGGACUGAGACACGGCCCAAACUCCUACGGGAGGCAGCAGUAGGGAAUAUUGCACAAUGGGGGAAACCCUGAUGCAGCGACGCCGCGUGAAGGAUGAAGUAUUUCGGUAUGUAAACUUCUAUCGGCAAGGAAGAAAAUGACGGUACUUGACUAAGAAGCCCCGGCUAAAUACGUGCCAGCAGCCGCGGUAAUACGUAUGGGGCAAGCGUUAUCCGGAUUUACUGGGUGUAAAGGGAGCGUAGGCGGCAUGGCAAGUCAGAAGUGAAAGCCUGGGGCUCAACCCCGGAAUUGCUUUUGAAACUGUCAGGCUAGAGUGUCGGAGGGGUAAGCGGAAUUCCUAGUGUAGCGGUGAAAUGCGUAGAUAUUAGGAGGAACACCGGUGGCGAAGGCGGCUUACUGGACGAUUACUGACGCUGAGGCUCGAAAGCGUGGGGAGCAAACAGGAUUAGAUACCCUGGUAGUCCACGCCGUAAACGAUGAUUACUAGGUGUGGGGGGUCUAACCCCCUCCGUGCCGGAGUUAACACAAUAAGUAAUCCACCUGGGGAGUACGACCGCAAGGUUGAAACUCAAAGGAAUUGACGGGGGCCCGCACAAGCAGUGGAGUAUGUGGUUUAAUUCGACGCAACGCGAAGAACCUUACCAGGUCUUGACAUCCAACUAACGAAGCAGAGAUGCAUUAGGUGCCCUUCGGGGAAAGUUGAGACAGGUGGUGCAUGGUUGUCGUCAGCUCGUGUCGUGAGAUGUUGGGUUAAGUCCCGCAACGAGCGCAACCCUUGUGAUUAGUUGCUACGCAAGAGCACUCUAAUCAGACUGCCGUUGACAAAACGGAGGAAGGUGGGGACGACGUCAAAUCAUCAUGCCCUUUAUGACCUGGGCUACACACGUACUACAAUGGUCGUUAACAGAGGGAAGCAAUACCGCGAGGUGGAGCAAAACCCUAAAAACGGUCUCAGUUCAGAUUGUAGGCUGCAACUCGCCUACAUGAAGUUGGAAUUGCUAGUAAUCGCGGAUCAGCAUGCCGCGGUGAAUACGUUCCCGGGCCUUGCACACACCGCCCGUCA